UUUCUCUUAGAGAGUGAGGUGAACAGAGUCACAUUCAGACUGCAUAUGAAGAUCAAGCGAGAGAACACACAGCAACCCUUGGUGCUAUGCUGGCUACACCGUGGGUGCUCAGUCAAUGCUCACUGCAGUCUUGUUCUGAAUAACGGCAAGGUGUUUCCCAGAAACAUCAGCAUCCCGUGGUGCUGAUUAAAACCCUAGCCUUGCCGGUCAGAGAUGCUCUUCUAUCCACUGUUGGAAAACUUGCUAGUGCCGCCCAGCUUCACCCCCAUCCCACCCUCAACUUCUCUGCUCUGACACAGCCUGGCACCCUCUGCCACUACCACCCCUGGGGCCCUUACAGCACCCAGCACAGCCUCCAGUGCACAGCAGGGCCUCCCAUGGGGAGGCAGGAUGCAGAUGUACCAGAUGGGAGCUGGUGUCUUCUCCUCUGUGAAGCUUUGCUCUUCUGGUGCCAUGGGGCAGCAUUUGGUGUGGGCUCUGGCUGGCCUGCCAACUUCCUUGUGCCCACUCUGCCCUCCGGUUUUGUCCUGGGUCACCUGAUCCAGCUCACUUCAUCCCUAGCUCCCAGAAAAGUCGCUCCUUUCCUGGCCACCUGGCUCCUAGCUCAUGUCUUCCAGUGAGGAGUGGAGAGCCACUUCUGCAGCUGGGACCUCUGGUUCUAGCCUGGGCUCUUGGCUCUGAGACUGCCACUAGAAACGUGAGUUCCACCGGGCAGUGGUGGCACAUGCCUUUGAUCUCAGCACUUGAGAGAUAGAGGCAGUUAGAUUUCUGAGUUCAAGGCCAGCCUGGUCUACAUACAGAGUGAGUUCCAGGACACCCAGAGCUACACAGAGAAACCCUGUCUCAAAAAAAACAAAAAAGAAAGAAAUGUGUGAGAGCAGGCUGGAGAGAUGGCUCAGCGGUUAAGAGCGCUGACUGUACUUCUGAAAGUCCUGAGUUCAAUUCCCAGCAACCACAUGGUGGCUCACAACUAUCUGUAAUGGGAUCUGAUGCCCUCUUCUGGUGUGUCUGAAGACAGCUACAGUGUACUUAUAUAUAAUAAAUAAAUCUUUUUUUGUUUGUUUGGUU
rnacentral:lncRNA from 1 species